GCGGCGUGCGGUGUCUCUCCGUCGUCGACGCCCCCCUGUAGUGAAUCUUCACGUAAGCCUGCUGCACCAUCGCUCCACUGGCGAGCGACAAAUACGCACCGACAUCCUCACGCGCGAACACACGCACAUACACACAUAAGCAGUAAGUAUAUUGUCUAGCAGGGGGGCGACAUGGCAGCCGACAAGGACACACCCGACUCACCACGGCGUUCGUGGGCAACGGCGGCAGAGGGCACCAAUGGAAUUGCGACGGAGCAGCAGCCACAGCCCUAUUCAUCCAGUUCUUCCGCCGCCGCCGCCGCCACGUCCAUGUCUGUUGCAGAGACGACUGCGACCGACGCGACGACAGCGGCGGCCUCGCGCAAGGCACCGGCUCCGCACGACAAGGCGGUCGUGGUGGAUGAAGGUAGCACUGCGAGCGCUGCUGCCGCAUCUUCCUCCUCUUCCACUGCGUCGUCGUCGGCGAGCGUCGAUGAGCAGCGCCGCCGCCGCCUGGCCCUGUACGGCAGCCGCGCUAUGGCUGCAGGUGGCAGGAAAGGCUCUGCCCUGGCGGCGGACCCGCAUCACCCGUCCACCCCGCAUGGAAGCGCGCACGGCCGCCACGCCCUCACCGCCUUCGGCGCUCGCCGCGGCGGCGAGCUCGCCUUCUACAUCCAGCAAGGCGGCGAUCUCACCUCUCAAGGUCGGUAUCUAGUCAUCGGCGACGGCUUGAUGGCGCCGUUCAUGGCGCUCUGCCUGCGCGUGCAUGGGCUCGAAUGCGAUCUCGCCCACCAUCCGUCGCAGAACGACCUCGACCGCGGCACAAUUGUGCUGACGCCGUCCGUCACGCAGCUUAUGGGCGACGUGCUCAACGUCUCCGUGCCGUCUGGCAGCGUCGUUGGGCGGGUGCUCACGUUCGACCACGUCGGCAACGACAUGUGCGACAUCGACCUCAACGAGUUUCGCGAGAAGGGCGAGAGCCCGACGUUCUUCUGCUGUGACCGGCUGAAGGUGGAAUCAGCGUUGAUGUCGCUGUGCCGAAUCGGCGCGCACAGCUGCAUGGUGCUGCCGAAGCCUCAGAUUGACAAGGGCGGCCUCGAGCCCCUCGAGAGCGGUGGGGUGCGGGUGCGCUUUACGAGCGGUCUGCAGCAGGAUUACCUCGGCGUCAUCUGCACGGCACGCAACCAGGAGCUGGUACCGGAGCUGACGAUCACAAACGAAGAGCUGCAAGCGCGCGCGGAGAACGCGGAGAAGUACCGCGAUACUUUCAGCAAGUCCGUGCGGUGGAUGGAGCUGUGUGUGCCGCCGCUGCCGGAGCUUGGCAAGUUCGAGAAGCGCUUCACGCCCGGUUCGCAGGAGAUUGUCGAGAUUCUAACGCCGCGCGACGCCAAGAUGACGGUGCGGCCGACGAUGAUGGCCACAAAGCUGUUCUACAACGUCACACUCACCAUCCCUGACGGCACGGCGGACCCGCGGCUGAAGAGCACCAGCACGAAGCUGUUCUGGGACGAUGUUGUCAUGCACUGGACGUCGGGUGUGCCAGGGUACAUAUCGCACACGAUGUUUCGGCCGAUGUUCACACACCUGCAGCAGAACUUCACGAAGUCCAGCGCGCUUGUUUACCGCACGCCGCUCUUCUUGAUGCCGCACUGGUCGGAGGGUGGCGGCCGCGUGAUCAAGGUCGCCCAUGCCGCGCACGGCUCGUGUUUCGACGCGGUGGACGUGUCCGACGCGCAGAGCUUCACCGACUGCUUCACCCUGGCGCGCACGAUUGCCGGCGGUGAGGACGUGGCGGCGUUUCUGAAGGAGCGGCGGCUGCAGGUAAUGGAGGAGAUGGACCACCACUCCCGCCUUACUUAUUACGGUCUCAAGGAGCGGGGGCAGAUGGCGUACAUGAUGUCCCGUUUCAACAUGAAGAUCAUGCGCAAGUACAAGAAGAGCUGGCGGUUCAUCCUGCAGAACUACGUUACGCUGAUGCCCAAGAGCAUCCCGCGAUGAACGCACGUGUGCGGUAUGGCGCAUCAGGUGCACCGUCGCCGUCGGCUCCUGCGUCCAACCCUUCUGCGCGAUUCCUGUAUGUGUGUGUGUGCGCUUGCACCGGGGUCUGCUGCUGCGCGGAGGCAGCGCCGUAACCUUCGCCGCCCACCACCGCCCCGCAGGCUUGGCAUUUUGUUUGCGCGUCGCACCCGCCACUGCCCUCUCUCACAUACACUGUGUGGGUGGGUGUGACGGAGAGCCGGGGAGGAGGGGAGGAGUGAUGGCUAUGUGCUCGAGUAGAGAAGAUGUCAAGUACCAAAACGCACGCACGCAGAGAGAGAGGGAGCGAGAGGAGGGGGGGCGACAGGAAGGAGGCGACGACGCUUAUUAACGGCAAAGACCUCUCACACUCUUCCAAGAACGAAGGGCGUAAGCCGUGAAGCGAAGGGGCCGCGAUCGAGCCAUCCAUCGUGAACCACAUCGCGCGAUGACGUCAGGGAUGGGAAAUGGUGCGUGAUGAAGCGCAUAUGGAGGCCGAAGCCACUGCUCUCGCGUGCAUGUUUGAUUGCAAGUGGAUGUAUGGGUGGGUGUCUCUUUUUGCCGCUGGUCGUCAGAGACUCACCGAACUCGCCGCGUAUGCGGCGUGUCUCUUGCCCUCC
rnacentral:misc_RNA from 1 species